rnacentral:tRNA from 1 species
GUGGGCCGAUAGCUCAAUUGGCAGAGCAAUUGACUCUUAAUCAAUUGGUUGGAGGUUCGAGUCCUCUCGGCUCACU